rnacentral:rRNA from 1 species
UACGGGGGGAGCAAGCGUUGUUCGGAUUUACUGGGCGUAAAGGGCGCGUAGGCGGCCACGUCAAGUCAGUUGUGAAAUCUCUGGGCUUAACUCAGAACGGUCAACUGAUACUGUCGGGCUAGAGUGCAGAAGGGGCAACUGGAAUUCUCGGUGUAGCGGUGAAAUGCGUAGAUAUCGGGAGGAACACCAAUGGCGAAGGCAGCUUGCUGGGACGGUACUGACGCUGAGACGCGAAAGCGUGGGGAGCAAACAGG